rnacentral:rRNA from 1 species
GUGUGAGGGACGUCGUCACGUCUUCAUGUGCCCUUACGGGUGGGGCUUCACUCGUGCUCCUUAUGGCGUGUUCUAUAGGGAUGCAGAACUGGUGACAGUAAGCGGACCCCUUACUAGCUCGUCGUAGUCCGGAUUGGAGUCUGCAACUCGACUCCAUGCAGUCGGCAUCGCUUGUCAUCGUAGGUCAGCUUACUACGGUGAAUCCGUUCCCCGGGCCUUGUACACUCCGCCCGUCUCCCCAUGGGAGUGGGAUGCAACAGAAGUAGGUAGCUUAACCUUCGGGAUGGCGCUUCGCCGCUUUGUGUUUCAUGUCUGGGGUGAAGUCGUAACAAGGUAGCCGUAAUUCCUAGUUUUUUAAGCGGCCGCGCUACCUAGGCUACGGCAUAUGGGGGGAGAR